CCGCAACGCUGCACGGGCGAGUAGGCGGGAGAUGCCGAAACUGCGCGGGGAAGCCUUCUGGAGGGAGACGCUGCGGAGCGCCCACUACGUGGUGGCGCCCAUGGUGGACCAGAGCGAGCUGGCCUGGAGGCUGCUGAGCCGCCGCCACGGCGCCCAGCUCUGCUACACACCGAUGCUGCACGCCCAGGUCUUCCUGAGGGACGCCAACUACCGCCGCGAGAACCUGUACGGCGAGGCCUGUCCCGAGGACCGGCCGCUCAUCGUGCAGUUCUGUGCCAAUGAUCCUGAAGUGUUUGUCCAAGCAGCACUGUUGGCUCAGGAUUACUGUGAUGCCAUAGACCUAAAUUUGGGUUGCCCCCAAAUGAUUGCAAAGAGAGGUCACUACGGGGCAUUUCUGCAAGAGGAGUGGGAUCUUCUUCAGAGAAUGAUUUUACUGGCUAACGAGAAGCUCUCUGUUCCCAUCACAUGCAAAAUCCGCGUUUUCCCAGACAUUGACAAGACAGUGAAGUAUGCACAGAUGCUGGAGAAAGCUGGCUGCCAGCUGCUGACUGUGCAUGGCCGUACUAAAGAACAGAAAGGACCACUUGCUGGUGUGGCAUCUUGGGAGCACAUUCAAGCUGUGAGAAAAGCUGUAAACAUUCCUGUAUUUGCAAAUGGAAACAUCCAGUGUCUCAGCGAUGUGGAAGAAUGCAUCCGUAAGACAGGAGUACAUGGCGUCAUGAGUGCAGAAGGUAAUCUUCAUAACCCAGCUCUGUUUGAGGGCCGGAACCCGUUGGUGUGGGAGAUGGCUGAGGAGUACCUGGAGAUCGUGCGCAAGUACCCUUGUCCAUUGUCUUACGUCAGGGCUCAUCUCUUCAAGCUCUGGCAUCACACGCUUCAAGUUUACCAGCAGCUGCGUGAAGAAUUAGCAAAAGUGAAGACUCUAGAGGGCAUCAUAGAUGUCAACAGGGAGCUGAAACUACGAUGCCAGGAAGAAAUAGCUAAUCAGAAAGAAGGAGAAAAGCCAAAAGAAGGGUUGCCUUUUUUCCACUGGAUCUGUCAGCCAUACAUCAGGCCAGGGCCAAAGGAGAGAUGCAGGGAGAAUGGAGAUAGUGGAACUGAAAAAGGUGUGCGAGGGAAACGUGCUCUGGAAGAAGAGGAAGAUGGAAAUUCUGAGCUUCUGUCAAAGAAUAAACAAAAAAAGAAGUUAAGAAAUCCAAAUAAAAGCUUUGAUCCAUCUUUAAAACCCAAAUAUGCAAAAUGUGAUCAAUGUGGAAACCCUAAGGGCAAUAAAUGUGUGUUUAAUAUGUGCCGAGGGUGCUGUAAGAAAAGAGCAUUCAAGGAAGUAGCAGAUUGUCCAGGUCAUGGAUUACUUUUUAAGACCAAGUAUGAAAAAUCCCUUUCAUGGCAGCACAGUCAAAGAGGAAUUCAAACCCCAGAGAUCAGUCAGAGAGGGGAUGCAGAGGUGGGGGAGACGGCAGUGCUGAAGGAGGCUGGUGCCAGUACAGGAUGAAGUUUUGGGAAUGAACAGUCCAAGAGCUCCUGCCAGACCACUACUUCCCUGGGCCAAAGAAUGUGUCAUCUCCAGCUCCUUGUCAGCUGUGUGAACUUGUUCCACACGAUUAAGUUCUGGAAAAGUUUUAUUUAAGUAAAAAACUGCUUACUCAGGGAAUUAUCCUGCAUUUGAAAUAAAAGAGAUGCAAUUAAAUGUCUCAUGAUGUAUUUGAAAGACUGAAAAUUCUGCAUUUUUGGGUGAAGGCAGUUUCUGUAAGCUGUCAUUACACUCUGCCACCUGUAUGCCCAUUAACCCUUCAUGCUCUGUUUUUAAUAUUGGGGCCUAAAUUGAUUGCAUUAGAACAGCCUUCUGGCAUGCUAAAAAUACCAAUGUCAGUGACUCCCUCACUUGCAGAAAAUGUGCCACAUCUGUUAGUGUUUUAACGCAGAAGGAAAAGCAUCAGUACUUGGAAAAUGUGAAUGUAAAACUAGGAUCUUGCUCUAUCCACUCUAACAAUUAUUAGUUUCUUACAGUAUGAUGAAACUUAACAGUCUUCCAAGAGCCAAAGUUUGGGGGAGGGUUAAAUUUCUCUUUUUAAUAGAGAAGGUUGUCUAAAAAUAUGUGGGAAGCUGGAACCACAUCCAUGAACAUUUCUGUGCUCAAGGUCUCAUACUUCAUUAUGUGGUCAUUUGUCCUUCACAUGUGAUAAUUCUGAGAGGCGUGACAGAUGCAGGUCCUACACAUGCCUUUUCUAAAGAUGGGAACUUGAAACCACCACUCCCACCUCCUGUGGAAAUAGUCCACUUCUCCCCUUGCACAGGCGUGUAUGCUAAAGCUGUCAAGCAUUCUGAAAUUCCUGGUCUGUUCUCCUCUUCUCUAGUAAAAAACCUAAAUAUUCAUUAUCCUAGAAUUUCAAACUGUUUAACUGACCUCUUCCCUCUAUAAUGACCUCUAUGGUUUCUCAAAACAAUCAGAAAGCUCAGACAUUCUGCUCAAAGGCAAAGGUGAAACAGCUGGGUCCAGCACAAGAGACAUGGGGCUGAGUGAGAGGUUUGGCUUAUCUUCUUCCCCACACAGAUUUCCAUCACACCUUCCUCUAACAAAUACAGUCUCAUCACAGAAUAACCAGUGGAAAGGAACAAUCCAGGUGGCUUUAGGCUCCUAAAUUCAGGAGGGACCUUACACUUGAAAGUACUAAUUGGACACCUUUCUAUAAAGAAUUAGUAUUUAAGGUAUAUUUGUCCCUCCCCCCCAUGCCACGACAUUGCUUAACAAGACAAUGGAGAAAUGCAGACAGACCUUAUCUUGUUUACUCCUGCCCAUGGCGUGGCUGGAGGUUGCCACACUCCUGACCCAGGGCUGGAAAACAGCUCAGUUUGGCCCUGCCCCAUAGACCCACCUCUGUGCCUCCAUCUACAUAUCACCACACUCAUGGAAAAGUUUCAACCUAAACUUGCAACAGCCCUGCAGUUACUGAGGCAAAGCUGUCCAGGUGGCCCACAGCUCACUAAGCAAUGCUUGUGAGCAAUUACAACCUGAGCAAAGCCAAGUCACUGACUGUCCACACUGAGCACACCUGCACUAACAAGGGAUUACUUUCAGGCUAGGCAAUAUGCUAAUUAUCCUAGUUAAUAAAAAAAUUCUAGUUUGCCAGCUCAGCAAGGUCAAGGCCUAUUUUGUUUCUGUUUCACAGGCCCGUAAGGAGACACACUAUUUGAUUUUCAUGGAGUAGGGGGAGGAAAAGGCAAUGCCCUGAAUGCAGAAUGAUGUUUAAAAUUAUGCUCAGUCUUCAGUAAAAUGGAUUUUUGCGUCUAAAUUAUUUUCAGAGGCACACAAGAAAAAGCUGGGGUAUUUCACCUGACAAAAAAGAAAGCCUUUAUUUGAGAAAUAGAUUAUAAAAUGAGAUAGGAGAAAGAUGUUUAAAAAAAGUUAAAAGACAAAAAGUGCAUCAAAACAAAGACUGAAACUCGGAGAUUUCAGCACUAUUUAUGGAUACAUGGGUUCACAGAGGGUUCGCAGUUCUAUUGUCUACAGGCACGGGGAGUACAACAGUCAAAGCCAGAGCUGAAGGCUUAGAGAACUGAGACAGCAGUACCUGUAGGCUCAGGGACAAAAAGACCACCCAGCCUGAUUUACCACCUAAGCCAGAUUUUUCAGCUCCUGCUACUUGAGUUCUUGUUUGAAUUAGACCAACUCCUGCUGAUGCAGCUGCCCUUUAGUCUGCAGCUUUAAUAACUCUACAAAAGCCUAAGUUUGAAUUAGUUCUUUGCUGUCAAGAGACUUAACUGCAUUACAAAUUUACCAAGCUGCUAAUUACUGAAUCUUGUACAUUUUUUCUUAGAGCUUGACAUGCCCUUUUAGCCAGUUUUUGUUCCCUUACUAAUUUAGCCUGAUCAAGUUACCCUAUGAGAGAAUCUAAAGCUACACAGCAACUGUAUGAAAUGUUGAAUGGAGUUCAGAGAUCCAUAACACAGAAGCCAAACUACAAAGCUCAUUUGCUAAGCAGACAGUAAUCCUUUCCCUAUUCCCUACCAGCAUCAGAGGAAGCAGAAAUCAGUUCUACACUACAGUUUGGUGUUUUUCACCCUACUGCAAAUUCACAGCUGAUGGAAUACCAGGCUAAAGGAGAGAGUUACAUGGCAGGAACUCUGCACAAAGCAUCCUCGAGGCCAACGCUGUAAGAGAGGGGCUCGGUCACUCCCAGAGAGGCUGCAAGCACUUCUGUCUGGGGGGACAAAAAUGCUACAGAACAGCCCCGGGCCACAGGCAGGGCUGGCAACUGCUAUUGCCACCUUGUGGGCCCCUUGUGGCUGCUGAGGGAUGUGUGAUGCUGCUGGCGUCUGCAACAACAGCUCAAGACAUCACUGACCACUGAGGAGCCCUGCAGAAGGCAUCCUCCAGCAAGGGACAGAAAACAGUCAAUAAAAUCCUGAAAGUGGAAGCACAGACUGCAGCACCACUGCACUCAACUGGGACGCAAAAUCAUCUUCUAAAGAGCAGAGUGUAAGAUCUUUUCCUUAUAAAUAGUAUCACUGGCCCAUUUGGGGAAUAAAGUAUGCUUGAGUAGCAUUUUAGGACUGAGAAGCUUUCCUUCAGCAUGAACAGAAAGCAUAACAGUACUUUCCCUGCAUUUCUUAUAAGGAUGUACAACAAUUUACCCAAGGACUCAACUUGCCUUUCUCACUAAACUGAGUAUCAGUGAUGCUCAACACUAAGUUCUUCCCUCAAAAAUGGGAGAAUUUUUCCAUGCCAAAUGUAACAAAUGACCUCACAGAAACCAUUGCUUCCUUUUUCAGCAUCUAAGCCAUAAAAAGCAUGGAAAGCCAGGAGAGCCCACUGUUGCUAUAGGAAUUCUGCUGUUUAAUUGUUUGUUCGAACUGCACUUUUUUCACAGUUCAUCCAAGCUACAUCUCCAAACCAGAUCAGAAAGAAAAACACAAUCACCUGCAAAACAUCAUGAAGCUUAGCAAAAAAUCAAUGGUUUGAGAUCAAAAUGCCUAAAACCCAACCUUAACACAAAACUCCAAAUACUCAGAAGCUUUUUAAUCCUGCUGUUUAAUGCACUAGAUAUAACAACUUUUUUUUUUUUUUUUAAAAAAAAGCAUAAACACAUUAAAAGUAACAUCUGUAGUCACUUGCCAGAGCAGUCAGGGCUGGAUCAAAAUUCUCAGCUUGCCUUAUGAAUUAGAUGAAUACAAGGCUGCAGUGACUUCAGAAAACACAGUGCAUAUCUCCUUUCAUGAACACAGGAAGAACACACACACACACACACA